UAACCCCUCAAGCUCAGCUUGGUGUUGGGGCCUGCUGCACUGGCAGCCCUUAAAAUCAGUGGCGGCGCCAUCUGGCUCUAAGCGUAGUAAUUCUUCUCGCUAUGGAGUCCUGGUGGAUGCUUGCCAUCAACCCCCAAUUUUUCUAU
rnacentral:misc_RNA from 2 species